GACAGAGGUGCCAAGCGUUAGGCGGAAUCACUGGGCUUAAAGCGUGUGUAGGCGGAUCGUUAAGUACCUUGUGAAAUCCCACGGCUCAACCGCGGAAGUGCCUCUGAUACUGGCGGCCUCGAGGGAGGUAGGGGCGUGCGGAACUUCCGGUGGAGCGGUGAAAUGCGUAGAUAUCGGAAGGAACACCGGUGGCGAAAGCGGCGCGCUGGACCUCUUCUGACGCUGAGGCGCGAAAGCCAGGGGAGCGAACGGG
rnacentral:rRNA from 1 species